UAUACAGAGGUGCAGCAUUUACACACAGGAUAUUGUAAAGACACAGAGCUUGCUACAGAUGCCUUCAAGUCCUCGGAGACGCGUCCCCUUCCCGCUGCCCCGAAAAAGCGCCGCUGGGAGAAGAGGUGCCACCAGCUCCUGGUGUCCUUGGAGAGAAAGGAAGAAAGAAACGAACAGAACAGCAAAACAAAAAAAAAAAAGGAAAAGAAAGAAAGAAAAAAAAAACCAACUGCCCCAAAGCGAACAACGCACGCUGUUCCGGAUGGAGAGGGGUGGGUUUUGUCCUUUGGUUUCUUACUGAAGGCAAAGUGGGACGCGCUCUGCACAGCUCAGACACGAUGCUCACGGUUCUGUGGUCCCUAUGGGGGGAGCAGGGGGGGGACGCAGCCCCCGGCCCCACACACAACACAAAUAAACCAAAAAGGUUGUUUCUGGGGUCUCUGGUUCGUUGUUUUGGCUUUUGCUCCGCGCUGCGCUCAGUGCCGCCGGCUGCGCUGCGGCGCUCGGGCUGCUCACAACCUGAAGUCACCCCUCUUAUCUUUUUUUCCUAUUUUUUGUUUUUUGGAGCUUUUGCUCUGCUAUCAGUGCUACUUUCGGACCUGUCGGACUCAGCCCCGGGUCGGGGGGGGGCUGGGACCUCUGCGGUGCUUUGGGUUGGGGAACCGGACCGGGACUGGGGGGGGCACAGGGACGGGGGUCUCACACCUCCCUAAGGAAACACAAAUCGCCUGCAGCUCGGGAGCAGCAACAAGGAAACGCACCGAGCACCUCCUCACCACCGCUGGGUUCUGUGGGGCUGUGGAAGGGCCGUCAGGAAAAGCCAAUGGAGCUGCCGGGCUGCUCCGGGCGCUGCGUUACAUUCAGUGUUUGUCAGCAGUUUAUAUGGCUCAGCCGGGCUGUGCAGCCCGGGAUUCUAGCAAUGGCAGUGCAAAUACACCUUCUCGACUUGAAAUGUAUUUGUGCUGUUUUUUCUUUUUUUUUUUUCUUUUUUUUUUUUCCUCUUUUUUUUUUUUCCCCCUCUCUCUCAUAACACAUCUUCCCUUUGUUCAUUCAUUCCCUAGAAACAAACUUUUUUUUUUUUUCUUUUUUCAAGUUAAAAAAAAUCAAAGAAUAAUAAAAACCAAAACCCAAAGACACUCUCGUAAUCCCUUCCUUUGCUGCUCUCUAUCCCGUGGGACGCUAAAGGGAAUCCAGACUCAUGCUUUAACAAAAGUGCUUAUUACUUGA
rnacentral:lncRNA from 1 species